GACGAACGCUGGCGGCGUGCUUAACACAUGCAAGUCGAACGGUAAGGCCCUUCGGGGUACACGAGUGGCGAACGGGUGAGUAACACGUGGGUGAUCUGCCCUGCACUUCGGGAUAAGCCUGGGAAACUGGGUCUAAUACCGGAUAGGACCACUGCCUGCAUGGGUGGUGGUGGAAAGCUUUUGCGGUGUGGGAUGGGCCCGCGGCCUAUCAGCUUGUUGGUGGGGUGAUGGCCUACCAAGGCGACGACGGGUAGCCGGCCUGAGAGGGUGACCGGCCACACUGGGACUGAGAUACGGCCCAGACUCCUACGGGAGGCAGCAGUGGGGAAUAUUGCACAAUGGGCGCAAGCCUGAUGCAGCGACGCCGCGUGAGGGAUGACGGCCUUCGGGUUGUAAACCUCUUUCAGCACCGACGAAGCGCAAGUGACGGUAGGUGCAGAAGAGGGACCGGCCAACCACGUGCCAGCCGCCGCGGUAA
rnacentral:rRNA from 1 species